rnacentral:rRNA from 1 species
UACGUAGGGUGCAAGCGUUGUCCGGAAUUAUUGGGCGUAAAGAGCUCGUAGGCGGUCUGUCGCGUCGGCUGUGAAAACCCGGGGCUCAACCCCGGGCCUGCAGUCGAUACGGGCAGACUAGAGUGUGGUAGGGGAGACUGGAAUUCCUGGUGUAGCGGUGAAAUGCGCAGAUAUCAGGAGGAACACCGGUGGUGUAGACGGCUCUCUGGACCGUAACUGACGCUGAGACACGAAAGCGUGGGUAGCAAACAGG